GUCUGACUGCAUGCUGCCAUGCUUCCCACCAUGAUAAUGGACUACACCUUUGAACUAUCACAGUACAGUUGUGUGACAGAGGGACACUGUCAGUGCUGGCCAGGAAGACCUCACCUACAGCUUCCAACUGACCUUCGAAAGGAAGGAGGAGAAAGGAGAAGGGUGAGGCCAGCCAGCCUCGGUGGGUCUGCACUGACCUUACGCCUUGGUCCUCUCCAGGUCCCCAGGACACAGGGAAGGAGAACUGGAUUCCCACGAGGCAGGAAGUGACAAUGUUCAACACUCCAACCCCAGCAAGGAAGCAAGCACUACAGGAGAACUCCAGCUCAGCAACCUGCUCAGUUAUAAAAUGGCGUUUCCCAGCCUUCCUUGAGACCAACGUGACUGACUGUUCCAUAGAUACUGGCUAUGCGACAGAAGACGUGGAAAAUGGACUAAGAUAUCUGUCUUCUGUUUUCCCGGAAGACAGAAAUAAGACAGCUGGAGAUCCAGCAGCCACACCUGACCAUAAGGCAACCCGACACUUCCGGUCCCAAAGCAUCUAGGCGAGGGGUACUCCGUGUGCGGUGCAGUGCCGCGGCUUACCUUCUGCGGCCAUCUCCUGCAGAAAAGCCCGGAAGCUCCUCCGGCCUACCUCCCACUGCCGAACUCGGCAGCUGAGACUCCACCCAGCCAGGGUGACUUUAGGGUCUCGGGCCAUGUGCUCCAUACAUUGUUCCUUAAGAGGCAAUGCUCUCAAACAAAGAUCGAGCUGAGCUCACUCCUAGGAGAGACCAUGACAGCAAUAACUGGGAGCUCUUACCCAAGAAAGAAAAGAAGGUUGAGCCUCAGCCCGGCUGUCUCCUUCUCCAGUGAGUCUCAGCCUCACCCACAUUCUGCAGAAGCUGGAACACGUUCCCUUCUUCAAUGCAAAAACGGAGGGGAACUCUGGCCAAGCACUGGAGGAGUGAGCCACGGCACAAGCACACAGCAGCCAGCAGGCGCGACUGACCCCCAGGUGGGCACACGAGGGGCAUGUGCCUGCGGGCGCCGUCUGCUAGCGGAGGAGGGGCAGCAAAGAAUCGGAGGGGUCAAGGCAGGGGCGUGGCUCUGUGACAGAGCGCAUGCCUGGAGAGUGUGAGGCCCCGAGUUCACCCCACCACCUUAUCAUCACCCUGGCUGGAUAGGUUAAGGAAAUAAACGCUGGCAACUGUGUGAACAGGAUCCUGCCGGACCAGGAAACUAAAGAUAAAUAAAGGGAGAGAAAACCUGAAGAGGGAUGAAAAGAAGAGACUAUUCGGAUGUAGGAGGCCCUCGGGGAGCAAGGCCCGGGGUUGGCCAAGGAAGCUGCGUCCUCCCAUCUUUCCUCCGCUCUCUCCUGGAGAAGCAGAAGGAAAACAAGAGCAGUGAGCAGAU